GCAAGUCGAACGCUUCUUUCCUCCCGAGUGCUUGCACUCAAUUGGAAAGAGGAGUGGCGGACGGGUGAGUAACACGUGGGUAACCUACCCAUCAGAGGGGGAUAACACUUGGAAACAGGUGCUAAUACCGCAUAACAGUUUAUGCCGCAUGGCAUAAGAGUGAAAGGCGCUUUCGGGUGUCGCUGAUGGAUGGACCCGCGGUGCAUUAGCUAGUUGGUGAGGUAACGGCUCACCAAGGCCACGAUGCAUAGCCGACCUGAGAGGGUGAUCGGCCACACUGGGACUGAGACACGGCCCAGACUCCUACGGGAGGCAGCAGUAGGGAAUCUUCGGCAAUGGACGAAAGUCUGACCGAGCAACGCCGCGUGAGUGAAGAAGGUUUUCGGAUCGUAAAACUCUGUUGUUAGAGAAGAACAAGGACGUUAGUAACUGAACGUCCCCUGACGGUAUCUAACCAGAAAGCCACGGCUAACUACGUGCCAGCAGCCGCGGUAAUACGUAGGUGGCAAGCGUUGUCCGGAUUUAUUGGGCGUAAAGCGAGCGCAGGCGGUUUCUUAAGUCUGAUGUGAAAGCCCCCGGCUCAACCGGGGAGGGUCAUUGGAAACUGGGAGACUUGAGUGCAGAAGAGGAGAGUGGAAUUCCAUGUGUAGCGGUGAAAUGCGUAGAUAUAUGGAGGAACACCAGUGGCGAAGGCGGCUCUCUGGUCUGUAACUGACGCUGAGGCUCGAAAGCGUGGGGAGCAAACAGGAUUAGAUACCCUGGUAGUCCACGCCGUAAACGAUGAGUGCUAAGUGUUGGAGGGUUUCCGCCCUUCAGUGCUGCAGCAAACGCAUUAAGCACUCCGCCUGGGGAGUACGACCGCAAGGUUGAAACUCAAAGGAAUUGACGGGGGCCCG
rnacentral:rRNA from 1 species